UAGAACUUGAUUAAAUGAAACAAAUAUGGGGGAAGGACCAUUGCUGAAUUUCGGCCAGCUUGAAGAAGGAACAUAAAUUGUAUGGUUUGAUGCAUUAGAAUGAGUUUAAAAGCUUUGAUUAGUUGAAUGGUUAAGGUUAAGUGCACUAGUUGUGAUUUAAUGCAUGAGAUGGAAGAGCUAGGGUUUGAAUGUUAGGGUUUUGAGGCAAAAUUUUGGAGAAAUGCAUAAAUAGCAUGUUUAACCUAUUGUGAAAUGAAAUAAUGGUCAAUUAUGACCA
rnacentral:misc_RNA from 1 species